GAUAGCUAGUUUCAGGAUGCAGUUUAAACACAUUAACAUUUUAAAAAGCGAUUCACAUUUUAGAACAAAAAAGUCAACCUGUGGGAGGUGAGAGGCUGAGGUUCUGAAAGCGAAGAUGGAAUGGGGGGCGCUGCUCUGCCAAACCUCGAAAACGCGACCAUUUCAAAGGGCCCCGAGCCGACUUUGAAAUUCAAGCAUUCCGUCGGGUCUGUGUGGAUAAAAUGCCCGCUUGUGCUUAGUGGAGCCCGCUUACUGGCAGAGGUGGAAGGGUCUUGCUGAGCUUUUUUAAAAACUGCAUUGAUAUUUAUAGAAUAGUUCAAACGCACCCACGAUGGGCGUUUUAUGAGAAAAUGUAUUACAUGGGGUACUUUAUGAAAAUGAUCUACUUCUGACCGUGUGGCACAAGAGGUGAUGGGGCAUUGAUGUCGCCUGGGCCGCUUAGCAGCUGAGGCUCUUGAGACAGGAUUCAUGGUCCGCAGGUCCCAGCCCGAACCUCUGUCCAUGCAGUUUUCACAGCUUGCAUCCCCAGCUGGCCAUUCUGCAGAAAUGGCCCUGAUAGUCCCUUUAUGGAGGGCGUGCUGCUCUAUUUGACAUCAUCUCUGGCCUUUAUGGGAGCCUUUCACGAUUAAGGGGCUUUGAAUGCCAUCUUUGGAAAGUGCCAACUUCCAUCCUUCGUGAUAGGGAACCCUGUCCUUGUCUCACGGGACUGGAAACUCGGGCUGGGUGUCGCUUGCCAAGAUCGUGAGGAAUCGGCAAGGAAGGGGAUGCGAUGGGUAUGGGCCUCUGAGGAUUUCUGACAGUGUUCAUCUUUCCGGGAACCAGCCUCCAUUUCCUAAUGAUUCAUCCUCAAAAGUGCAGCCAGACAGCCCAGCAGAUCCCGGGCCUGUCUGUGCAACCAGCAAACUAAUCGUGCCCACUAACCGACCACACUGACCAAGCAAAGUCAGCGUGCAAACUGAGGGAACUAACCCUAAAAACUGUGGACUGUGAGCAAAAUGCCACUGUGGCGUCUUCAGAUAGAAAGUGUCCUCAGCCGUCAGUCAGUCUCCCUCCCUCUCUCUCUCUCUGUCUCUCUCUCCCUCCCUGUCUCUGUCUCUCUCAGCCGUGGAGGCCCAGACACACGCUUCCAUCUGCCCCCGGCCCCAAGCUCCUUCCUUGAGGGUGCUGUUGCAUUUUCUCGCAGACAGGUUUGGAGUCAGUAAAUGUAAUUCGAGAUGCUGUAAGCGCAGGCCCUCCAGGACCACUUCAACCGACCCCAUCUUAACAACAGAGUAAUCAAGAGUUGUCUUGCAGGAACUGAGACCCCCUUGUCCAGUUCAGGCUAGUUGAGACCACCAACUCAUCAACUGGGCCUGUGCAAAUGCUCCGUAAGUGACCUUUUUGCUGUCAGGGAGCUAAAAGUUCCACCCUUGGAUCCUGCCAACGCCACCAUUUUGUGAGCAUGGGUGCUAUGAAGGAGGCAUGGAGCUGGACUACGUGCGCAGGUCAUCACUUGCCUGGCUUCUCACCUCCAGUCCUCUGUCUCCACACUCCAAAUCCCCCUGCUCUUCAUCCUGUAAACUGUGCCCCCAGCCCUGGAGCUGGGAGACAGAUCUGAGCACACACAUCCCGUCUCCUUGCAGCUUAGUCUCACAAAGUAGAGCUACGUUUCUUUUCCCAAAAGCUGACACGUAAUAACUGACUUUUUGUAUGCAUAUCAGGCAAGAGAACCCCUAUUUUGUGCCGUGAAAAUGCCACAUCCGCCCAUCUGCCUGGGGCCCGGACACCUUUGCUGCUCAGUAAUUCAGCAGGAGGACACAGCCCAGGGGCACAGAGGAGGCUGCGGCAGGGACAGAGCAGACCAAGUAUGCCCCGGGCCCUGUCCGGCUCUGCGGGUCAGUGGAGUGAUGGUCAGGCCUGGCCCCCUGUGAGUCUCUCAGAAGCGGGCGAGGACCUGUACACCUGGGCUUGGAAAGGCCUGCUAUCCAGCUGUGCUGAAGUGGGGCUAAGGAGAGACCAGUGAAGAGGCUGUGCUCCCCUGGCCCAGGGGCAUGGCAGUGGGGCCAGCGCCAAACGGAGAGGACCUAUGAGACUCCUCGCGGCUGCACUGCCCGGAGUUUGCACCCAAGCUGACAAACACAGUCAUCCUGAAGAAGAGAAAGGGCGAGCAGAUCUUGAGGUUUGGACGAGCAGAAGCCUGUAGGAUGGAAUUGAUGUGGAGCCCAGGAAGCAUCUCUAUGCCAGGGCGUGGUGGAAGGAUCUUCUUUCUUCUGAAUCCCUCAGUCGAGGAGAAAUCCUAGGCUGCCUGUGAUGAAUGAAGUCAGUUUUAAUCCCUUAGCAAUGCACAGCGCUGAACAGAUAAUCUUGCUCAGUAACGUCCUAGGGACACAGACUGAGCCUCAGCAGCUGCUGUGCAGAGGAUUUCCGCCUCUGCUUGAAUAAUAGGUCUGGAUCUCACUGGUCAUUAAGGAAGAGGAAAGAGCCACUCAACAGUUCCUUGAAACCCCUGGCACUCCCAGUGUGUUAGCUUUGGAAAUCACUCCCAACAGCAGCUGUCUGACCGCCUUCCAGCCUGCCUGGUCCUGCAGCUGGAAACGCAUCGUCCCCAUCAUUUAAUUAGCGUCUGUGUGGUCCUGAUGCUUCUUGGAGAGAGAACUGCAUUGCAUCCCUUCUUCACAACAUCCAACCUUCUGUGUUGCUUUUAGACUGUUUUACUGGGUCUCCGCUGUCAACCCUUGGAGUGGAUUGGCACUAUAGCAACUUCCCUCAGUGACAGCUUUGUGUCUAGUGUAGAAACAAGCUAUUGUAAGACCAUCAAAAUACAGCGUCUUGGGGACGUUCACAACGGUGACAUCAGAGAGUUUGUAGAUAGCUCUGCAGUGCAUUUGUGGGGUGACAAUUUGGGGACUCAGUUCACUAAGGGUGCGCUGCAAAUACAUUUGUGUUUGGGAUACUCUGUCUUCGGGGUUAGGUCAACUCUGUAAAUCAAAACUUGUUUUCUCCUGGGGCCAGCCCGGUGGCACAGCAGUUAAGUUCGCAUGUUCUGCU